AUGCAGUCGAGCGGAGAUGAGGUGCUUGCACCUUAUCUUAGCGGCGGACGGGUGAGUAAUGCUUAGGAAUCUGCCUAUUAGUGGGGGACAACAUUCCGAAAGGAAUGCUAAUACCGCAUACGCCCUACGGGGGAAAGCAGGGGAUCUUCGGACCUUGCGCUAAUAGAUGAGCCUAAGUCGGAUUAGCUAGUUGGUGGGGUAAAGGCCUACCAAGGCGACGAUCUGUAGCGGGUCUGAGAGGAUGAUCCGCCACACUGGGACUGAGACACGGCCCAGACUCCUACGGGAGGCAGCAGUGGGGAAUAUUGGACAAUGGGCGGAAGCCUGAUCCAGCCAUGCCGCGUGUGUGAAGAAGGCCUUUUGGUUGUAAAGCACUUUAAGCGAGGAGGAGGCUACUUAGAUUAAUACUCUAGGAUAGUGGACGUUACUCGCAGAAUAAGCACCGGCUAACUCUGUGCCAGCAGCCGCGGUAAUACAGAGGGUGCGAGCGUUAAUCGGAUUUACUGGGCGUAAAGCGUGCGUAGGCGGCUGAUUAAGUCGGAUGUGAAAUCCCUGAGCUUAACUUAGGAAUUGCAUUCGAUACUGGUCAGCUAGAGUAUGGGAGAGGAUGGUAGAAUUCCAGGUGUAGCGGUGAAAUGCGUAGAGAUCUGGAGGAAUACCGAUGGCGAAGCAGCCAUCUGGCCUAAUACUGACGCUGAGGUACGAAAGCAUGGGGAGCAAACAGGAUUAG
rnacentral:rRNA from 1 species